CCUACGGGUGGCAGCAGUGAGGAAUAUUGGUCAAUGGGCGGGAGCCUGAACCAGCCAAGUCGCGUGAGGGAAGAAGGUACUGAGUAUUGUAAACCUCUUUUGCCAGGGGACAAAGGCGGCCACGGGUGGCCGUAAGAGGGUACCUGGAGAAAAAGCAUCGGCUAACUCCGUGCCAGCAGCCGCGGUAAUACGGAGGAUGCGAGCGUUAUCCGGAUUUAUUGGGUUUAAAGGGUGCGUAGGCGGGCUGUUAAGUCAGCGGUCAAAUGUCGGGGCUCAACCCCGGCCUGCCGUUGAAACUGGCGGCCUCGAGUGGGCGAGAAGUAUGCGGAAUGCGUGGUGUAGCGGUGAAAUGCAUAGAUAUCACGCAGAACUCCGAUCGCGAAGGCAGCAUACCGGCGCCCGACUGACGCUGAGGCACGAAAGCGUGGGUAUCGAACAGGAUUAGAUACCCCAGUAGUC
rnacentral:rRNA from 1 species